AUACGGAGGGUGCAAGCGUUACUCGGAAUCACUGGGCGUAAAGGAUGCGUAGGCGGAUAAUCAAGUCAAAAGUGAAAUCCCACGGCUUAACCGUGGAACUGCUUUCGAAACUGGUAUCUAGAAUAUGGAAGAGGUAGAUGGAAUUAGUGGUGUAGGGGUAAAAUCCGUAGAGAUCACUAGGAAUACCGAUUGCGAAGGCGAUCUGCUGGGACAUUAUUGACGCUGAGGCAUGAAAGCGUGGGGAGCAAACAGGAUUAGAAACCCUAGUAGUCC
rnacentral:rRNA from 1 species